rnacentral:lncRNA from 1 species
CGCGGCUCGUUCGUAGCUUUUGAGGGAGGCUGCGGGAAGUCAGCGAGAGAGCGGCAGUGACACCAGGGAGACUAGGGACUUGAAGACAAGGAAGGAAGAAGCAGCGAGACGUUCCAGCUUUGUGGAAUUGUUAGAAGACGGAUCCCAAUCCAGACCCCGAGAGAGUUCUUGGAUCUCUUUCAAGAAGGAAUUCAGGGCAAGUCCACAGUGCAAAGUGAAAGCAAGUUUAUUAAGAAGGUAAAGGAAUAAA